GCCUGCAUGGCUCAUUGGUUGAGCAUUUGACUUAUGACCAGGAGGUCACGGUUCGAUUCCCAGUGAUGGUA
rnacentral:tRNA from 1 species